UAUUAUCAGGGGUGCUGCCCGCGGGCGGCUGAGACGGAGAAAUCCGAACCCUUUAACCUGAUACGGGUAAUUCCGGCGUAGGGAGCAUAAC
rnacentral:ncRNA from 1 species